CUCUCUCCACAGCGGUGCUCCUCUCUGUGGUCGGCUCCGCCUCAGGCUCCGCCGCCAUCUUGUCGCGUGAUUGUGCUGAGGGCGAGCGCUUGUGACUGGGUUUCGAAGGCCGCGCGCGGGUAGCGGCUUCAGGAGUCGGGGUUCGUCUGGGGGACUGGGGGAGCUGCCCUCGGGGCGUGUCCCGUCGACGCCGUCACGGGUGGGGAACCGGAAGUGGACGCGCCGGGCCUGUGGCGGCUGCGGCACCCAGCGUGGGAGGCAGCCGGGCGCGGCGUCCCCGCGACGCGCUCACGUGUCUGCCACGCCUGUCGCCCGGCUUGCUUUCCCGUCAACCCUCCAGACGGCGGACGAGGACGGACGGGAAGCAGGGAGUGUCCUAGUGCGGUGAUCUCGAGCCGGCUGACGCUCGGCUCGCUUUGCCCCGUCUUAGCAGUUUGAAUCCUCUCUAGUACUCCUGGAGCUCAAGACUUAUUUUGCCAACACCAUUUCCAGCAGGGGGAGACAUGCUACCUUAAAUGCCGCACUAAAAUUUUGGACAAGAUUUCCACCUGCUUGUUGGUACAUUUCUGUAACCCUUGCUACUCGAGAGGCUGAGGCAGAAGGAUGACUUGAGCCCAGGUGUUAAAAGCUACUCUAAAGAUGGG
rnacentral:lncRNA from 1 species